CAAUUCACAGGAAUAGAAAUGACUUUGUGUGAAACACUGACGUCACACAAUAAAUAGAAACGAUAGCGAUGUAGAAAAUGCGAAAUGAAAAAAAUGUCGGAGAUGGAUGCUUCUCUUUGUGAUUCAUAGUGUUUACGAAUGUGUCACAGUGUGUCACAGAGAACAUUCGUGUGCAGCUCAAAACAUUGUCUCUCUGUUUAGUCUGUAUAUCUGCGCACGCACACAAAGAGGAGCAAAAAACGUUAUUCAUUGCAGUGCACACAAAUCGAACUCUUUCUCAAUACUCUCUCUCAUUCGACUGUCUCAACAGUUUAUAUGCUGUACAUUUCAGCGACCGAACUGAAACAUUGUAUAUAUCACUGCUGUCAAGAGCAAAUGAACAAAAAACGAAAACAAACAACGAAAGAAUAUUGCGAAUUUCACAGCGAAAAUUUCAGAAAAUAAAUGGUGAAAUUAUUCAGCACGAUGCAACGACCGAUUGGAAUUGUGUCAAAGAAAUGCGGUGUUUCCACUCGAUUCACCAGCUACGUAUUUUCAAUCACAGACAUGGACAAAUGGGAGAGUGAUGAACGCAAACUGAUCGAUGAAAUGGAAAAACGAAUCAUAUUUCUCAAAUUCACGGUCCGUGUUGCACCACUGUUGACACAACAACAAAAUGAAUUGGAAGUGCUUGCGCUGACAGAGCAAAUGAGGGUUCCUUGCCACGUUGCUGCUAUCACAAUUGCAGCAGAAAGAACCUACGUUACACGACUGUCAAGAAGAGAAAUGGUGGAAUUUCUACAAUGUGUAUUGGGUGAUUUGGAUCACAUCAUCGACUUUUGGCUCCCAUAGUCGCUCAUUAAUAUUUCAAAAUGGAACAUCACAAAAAGUGAAAUUAUAAUUCUUAUUAUUUCAAUAAAAAAAAAUCAUUCCAUUUCCCAGACAAAA